AUCUUAUCGAGAGUGGCUGAGGGACAGGCCCUUUGAAGCCACGACAACCGGUUCCAGUUUAGGAUAGGAAUCGGUGCCAAAUCCUGCCCCGUAAGGGGGGAGAUGAGAU
rnacentral:ncRNA from 2 species